AUAUAAAUAAUUACAGCGUGGGCUGUUGAAUUUGCUCAGAAACUAGAGUAAACCUGCAUGUGUGUAGCCCUUGGAUUUGGUGGCUUAGCACCAGACAAGACUGAGCAUCACUGGGCAUGCCUGUAAUCUCAGGUCUUGGAGGUGGAGGCAGAGGAAUCAGAAAUUCAUGGUCGUCCUGGCCAUGGAGUGAAUUCAAGGCUGUUUUACUCAUGACUUAUCUCAAAGGAAAAAGAAAGAAAGUGAAUGGGGAGGAUGAGAGGUUGAAGAGGGGCCUCAGAGAUUAGGAACACUCACUGCUCUUGGAGAAGACCUGGGUUCAUUGACAGCACCCAGGUUGUGGUUUACAGCUGUGACUCCUGUUCCCAGAGACUCAGUGCCAUCUUCUGACCUGAAGGAUCCUGUAUGCAUGUGGUCUACUUCAGGACACUCAGACACAGACAGACACAGAUAAACACACACUUUUUUUUAAAACAAGGAUCAGUUAUAUGAUGACUUUGCUGAUUUAUAUAAUUUAAUACUUUAUAAUUAGCUAUAUUGUGAGAAAUAUUUGAAAGUAGAUAAUUUAGGCAGGAAAGAUGUCUCUGAUUUUAAUUUAGAAACUGAAUAAACAGGCUUUUUCUUGUUAGAUUGAUUGAACAAGUCUUUUCUUCUCAUUGGAAUUUGCUGAGGUCUGGAAAUAUGCUUGAUUCCUUGGACUUUAUCUUAGAGAAAUUGAAGUUUAAUAACUUCAAACUCCCUCUUGUCUGUGAAAGCCAGCAUGUGAUUGUUGGUCACGAAUGUGGUGGAGAGGCCAAGUUCAGAAUAGAACAGAGGUGGAGGUCAUGGCUCCAGUGGGCAAUGGGAGAGGUUUCCUGAGGAAAAAAGCCAGUGCUUACAUUUCCUCUGUCCCUUGGGAAGUGUAGUGGUGUUUAGUAACAUAUGAGAGAGUGUCCUGGGGCCUGGGCUGUAGGCUUUGUAGGUAAGGAUGGUUGUUGCUCUUCCAGAAGACUCGGUUUCCAGUGCCCACACAGCAGCUCAACAAUUGUCUAGUUCCAGGGUCCAGUCCCAGGGCACCCAACACUGACCACAUCAGGUACUAACACAUGUGGUGCCCAUAUAUACAUGCAGGCAAAUACUCAUACACUUAAUAAGACUUCCAGAGUGCUACUGUAUCGUUUAGAAAAGGUGACAUCAAGGUAACGCUGAGUGUCACAUGGUAUCACUGGAUGAGAAAAUUAAGAGCUGAUUAGUGUUUACAGAGUUAUGUC
rnacentral:lncRNA from 1 species